rnacentral:rRNA from 1 species
CCCUACGGGGGGCAGCAGUGGGGAAUAUUGCACAAUGGGGGAAACCCUGAUGCAGCAACGCCGCGUGAGUGAAGAAGGUUUUCGGAUUGUAAAGCUCUGUUAGCAGGGAAGAGGAAGGACGGUACCUGCAGAGGAAGCCACGGCUAACUACGUGCCAGCAGCCGCGGUAAUACGUAGGGGGCAAGCGUUAUCCGGAUUUACUGGGUGUAAAGGGAGCGUAGACGGCAGAGCAAGUCUGAAGUGAAAGCCCGCGGCCCAACUGCGGGACUGCUUUGGAAACUGCCCGGCUAGAGUGCUGGAGAGGG